AUGGCACCGAAAUUGGGGGUCGAACCCUCGACCGUUAGUGGAAAAAAGGAAUAGGAAGUAACAAUGUAUUAGAAUGAAAAUGUUGAGUAAUGUAAUGAAUGUCUCGCGAGCGCGCAGGUUUU
rnacentral:lncRNA from 1 species